GACGAACGCUGGCGGCGUGCUUAACACAUGCAAGUCGAACGGAAAGGCCCUGCUUUUGUGGGGUGCUCGAGUGGCGAACGGGUGAGUAACACGUGAGUAACCUGCCCUUGACUUUGGGAUAACUUCAGGAAACUGGGGCUAAUACCGGAUAGGAGCUCCUGCUGCAUGGUGGGGGUUGGAAAGUUUGGGCGGUUGGGGAUGGACUCGCGGCUUAUCAGCUUGUUGGUGGGGUAGUGGCUUACCAAGGCUUUGACGGGUAGCCGGCCUGGGAGGGUGACCGGCCACAUUGGGACUGAGGUACGGCCCAGACUCCUACAGGAGGCAGCAGUGGGGAACAUUGCACAAUGGGCGGAAGCCUGAUGCAGCAACGCCGCGUGCGGGAUGACGGCCUUCGGGUUGUAAACCGCUUUCGCCUGUGACGAAGCGUGAGUGACGGUAAUGGGUAAAGAAGCACCGGCUAACUACGUG
rnacentral:rRNA from 1 species